GAUGAACGCUGGCGGCGUGCUUAACACAUGCAAGUCGAACGAUGAAGCUGGAGCUUGCUCUGGUGGAUUAGUGGCGAACGGGUGAGUAACACGUGAGCAACCUGCCCCUGACUCUGGGAUAACAGCCGGAAACGGCUGCUAAUACCGGAUAUGCACCAUGAACGCAUGUUCUGUGGUGGGAAAGAUUUUUCGGUUGGGGAUGGGCUCGCGGCCUAUCAGCUUGUUGGUGAGGUAAUGGCUCACCAAGGCGUCGACGGGUAGCCGGCCUGAGAGGGUGACCGGCCACACUGGGACUGAGACACGGCCCAGACUCCUACGGGAGGCAGCAGUGGGGAAUAUUGCACAAUGGGCGAUAGCCUGAUGCAGCAACGCCGCGUGAGGGAUGACGGCCUUCGGGUUGUAAACCUCUUUUAGCAGGGAAGAAGCGAGAGUGACGGUACCUGCAGAAAAAGCGCCGGCUAACUACGUG
rnacentral:rRNA from 1 species